rnacentral:snRNA from 11 species
AUACUUACCUUAAGAUGUCAGAGGAGAUCAAGAAGUCCUUCUGACCAGGCAUCGUUUUUUUCCAAUUUAGAGGGAAGUUAUGCAUUUCCUGCAUUGGAAGUUCUCUGAUCUUUUGGGAUAAGAAAACUUCUUUUUGCUCCAAUUGAUGUAAACUCCCUGGUCACUUGCACAUACUUGCGGAAAAGGUGUCUGCUGACGUUUCGUUCCCCAAUUCCAAUAAGUGGGUUAAUUUCUUUGUUUUUUCUUAAUUGCAAAAGCUUGGAUUUUUAUCUACUUUUGGAGUCCUGUGUUCAUUCUGCCUGGAGAAUUAUGGCACCAGGUAUUAUAACUGGUGCUUGGGGAGCUGGUUACUGUAUGGUAUUCAGAUUCGAGGGCAUUUUGUCCUAAUUGGGAUUCCAGUUUAAGUAAUCAUAGUUGCUUUGAGGAAGCCAAGGUGUUAUGACUGGUUCUUCUUAACAUUGGGUGAUGACUAUUGCUCUUUUGAGUAGUAUGAAAUUAUCUGAAGUGGAGGUUCUGGUAAUAGCAUAAAGAUGCUGAUAGUCCUUAUUACCCAAUAUUCUCAUGGAGGCCACUGAUUCUAGGUUUUCAAUCUAUG